UUUAACUGAGCGUUCAGUUACUUGACGUAGACCCGAAACCGGGCGACCUACCCAUGAGCAGGAUGAAGCGAAAGUAAAAUUUCGUGGAGGUCCGAACCCACGAGCGUUGAAAAGCUCGGGGAUGACUUGUGGGUAGCGGUGAAAUUCCAAUCGAGCCCGGAGAUAGCUGGUUCUCCCCGAAAUAGCUUUAGGGCUAGCCUCAAGGUGAGAGAUACGGAGGUAGAGCACUGAAUGUCCUAGGGGGUAUUGCACCUACCGAAGACUAUCAAACUCCGAAUGCCGUCAUCUUAUACUUGGGAGUCAGACUGUGGGUGAUAAGAUUCAUAGUCGAAAGGGCAACAGCCCAGAUCGUCAGCUAAGGUCCCUAAAUGUAAGUUAAGUGGUAAAGGAUGUGGGAUUGCACAGACAACCAGGAUGUUGGCUUAGAAGCAGCCACUCAUUCAAAGAGUGCGUAAUAGCUCACUGGUCGAGUGAUCCUGCGCCGAAGAUUUCCGGGGCUAAAACUUACUACCGAAGCUACGGCAUCAGUAAUGAUGGGUAGGGGAGCUUCCCAUACGGGUUGAAGCAUGACCGUAAGGACAUGUGGACAGUAUGGGAGUGAGAAUG
rnacentral:rRNA from 1 species